GAUGAACGCUGGCGGCGUGCCUAAUACAUGCAAGUCGAGCGGACGGACGAGACGCUUGCUUCUCUGAUGUUUGCGGCGGACGGGUGUGUCACGCGUGGAUCACCUACCUAUCAGACUGGGAUAUCUUCGGGACACCGGCGCUUAUACCGGAUGAUAUUUUGAACCGCAUGGUUCAAAAGUGAAAGACGGUCUUGCUGUCACUUAUAGCUGUAUCCGCGCUGCAUUAGCUAGUUGGUAAGGUAACGGCUUACCAAGGCAACGAUGCAUAGCCGACCUGAGAGAGGGAUCGGCCACACGGGAACGGAGACACGGUCCAUGCGCCUACGGGAGGCAGCAGUAGGGAAUCGGCCGCAGUGGGCGGAAGCCUGGCGGAGCAACGCCGCGUGAGUUGUGAAGGUCUUCGGAGCGUAAAACUCUGUUAUGAGGUAAGAACAUAUGUGGAAGGAACUGUACACAGCGUGACGGUACCUAAUCAGAAAGCCACGGCUAACUACGUG
rnacentral:rRNA from 1 species